AAUCUUAUAUUCAAUAAUGAUUUUAAAUUGCAAAUUUAAAGGUGUAAUUAUACUAAGAUUU
rnacentral:tRNA from 1 species